rnacentral:rRNA from 1 species
UACGAAGGGGGCUAGCGUUGUUCGGAUUUACUGGGCGUAAAGCGCACGUAGGCGGAUCGAUCAGUCAGGGGUGAAAUCCCAGGGCUCAACCCUGGAACUGCCUUUGAUACUGUCGAUCUGGAGUAUGGAAGAGAUGAGUGGAAUUCCGAGUGUAGAGGUGAAAUUCGUAGAUAUUCGGAGGAACACCAGUGGCGAAGGCGGCUCACUGGUCCAUUACUGACGCUGAGGUGCGAAAGCGUGGGGAGCAAACAGG